rnacentral:rRNA from 1 species
UACAGAGGGUGCAAGCGUUGUUCGGAAUUAUUGGGCGUAAAGCGCGUGUAGGCGGCAUUGCAAGUCGGGUGUGAAAGCCCUCAGCUCAACUGAGGAAGUGCGCCCGAAACUGCAGUGCUUGAGUACCGGAGAGGAUGGCGGAAUUCCCCAAGUAGAGGUGAAAUUCGUAGAUAUGGGGAGGAACACCGGUGGCGAAGGCGGCCAUCUGGACGGAUACUGACGCUGAGACGCGAAAGCGUGGGUAGCAAACAGG